GGCCUGCGAGUGUGCUGGAUUGCACGGCAGACUUCGAAUCUGCAAGACGGGGUUCGAUUCCUCGGCGGGCUA
rnacentral:tRNA from 1 species